rnacentral:rRNA from 1 species
AUGCAACCUCUGGUAUGGACAGUGGUUGCUCCGGGCAUGAGCAUUUUUCUUCGGCUGCCUCAGCCACUGAACAAAAGGGUUGUAACUUGUUUAAUAAGGAGAGCGGGCAAUCUGGGCAUCAGCGCCGGGAAGAAAAUGGUGGGAACGCUGAUUUGGGACGGAAAGGAAAGAAGAAAAAGAGGCGGAUCAAUGGUGACGACGGAGGAAGCGAAGAGUCAUGAUUCUUCAUCAUGGAGAAGGAAGGAGCGGGGUAGCAAGGAGGACGGCAUAACGGGGUGGGUUGUUACUCCAGGAGGAGAAAGUGAGAGCCUGCUCUGCUCUGCCUUUUUCCAUCAGCCCCAUCCAAUCCAUCAAGUUCGUCCGUAA